rfam:Ruminococcus sp. CAG:403 genomic scaffold, scf172
UGAGCAGACUGUGCGGUAGCGUGAAGCGUGCUUCAUGAGGAAAGUCCGAGCAUCACAGGGCAGGAUAACUGCUAACGGCAGCCGAGGGCGACCUUAGGGCUAGUGCAACAGAAAGAUACUGCCGGUUUCCUUGGAUUCCGGUCAAGGUGGAAAGGUGCGGUAAGAGCGCACCAGAGUGCAGGAGACUGUACUGCUAUGUAAACCCUAUCCGAUGCAACGUCUAUUGGUACGUUUUAUCAUAACAUUUGCCCGAUGGAUAAAGCGUAAUGGCGGCUUGAACUGUAGGGCGACCUACAGGCUAGAUAAAUUAUCGCACACGACAGAACUCGGCUUAUAGGUCUGGUCAUAAA